CAGACAGACAGUCGUGAGAUUGAAGACAUUUUCGGGUUUGGAACACAAAUAUCAUGGAAACUAUUCAAUGCAGUUUGUUAUGGAAACAUUGAUACCAUACAAUUGGACUUUCAGAACAAUAAUUUGAGUUUGGAACACAAAUACAAUGGCGUUUUGAACAAAUCAAUACAUAUCAUUCUGAGUGACGAAAUGAUACAUAUAUUAGAUACAAAGGGAACAAACUAAUAACACAUUACAAAUGUAAAGGUUUACAGAAAACAAGGGGCAACCAAAAGUUACCAAUAUAUCGAUUUUGGAAAUGGUAUAUGGAGCACAAGAAACUAAUUUUGUAGUGACUCUUUAUUUUCUUGGCUUGUUCUUGUCCUCACUUCUCCUCUGUGCUGCCCCUCCUUUGCCUGGUUUCUUAUUCCUUAAUUUCAACACUUUUUAUCUAGAAUUUAUUCGACUUGCAUUGUUUUACCCAAUUUAUAAGUUUGAUUUAUGGGAAACUACAUUGUUGUACAUCUAAUUGUGGGUCAUCCCUUAGGAGGAAAUCUUGGUAACAUCCUUGCUAGAUCUAUUGUAUUUCAUGUGACUCUUUACAAGUUGUCCAGCUGCAAUAGCAGACAUUAAUGAUAGUUCCCCAGCAAGAACAGAACCAGCUACAAUUGUUGCCAAUAGCCUCGCGUUU
rnacentral:lncRNA from 1 species